UGAUAGGGGUUUCCCUCUCCUCUUGUCUCCCCCUAGAUAAGUGUGGACACUGUCGCUUCCAUGUUUUUAUCAACAUCACAGCAGUCACUUUGGAAAGCAUGAGGUGCUGGGAAGCUUUCCCUGGCAUCUCAGACAGACCUCUUCACCCAAAAGGCUUAGAGACAAAUACUGAGGAUACAGUAUCAGACAAUGGAAGGAUUGGUUGUCCUAUUCUCGCUGCCCAGGGCAUCAGAAAGGAAAUCCCUGGGAUAUUUCACAGGAGAAAGAGAAUCCAUUUCCACCGCCAUUUGGAAUGGAAGCAAGUCUGGCCUCAUUCUUUGUCUGGGGACCCUUGAAAACCCACCUGUCCAACAACUCCAAGAUUUGGUGGCAAGGAGACUGUUAGCAACAGAAAAAAGGUAAGAAGAGAAAAUGAACAGCUUAGAGCUGACAGUCUAUUCCCCAGGAAGGGCUGACACAGUCGCUCCCAGUACAUCUUCAGGCAUCUCCUAAUGCCUGUGGUGUCGUGGUACUAUUGUUUUGUUGUUUUAGCUCGGAUCUCAGUUUGCAGACUUGCAUCUUUCUGAAGACCAGUAGCUAUUUAUUUAUAAGCCUCAAAGAGCUAUUAAGUGAGUAUGUGGAGGCAAGUGGAAUUGCUGCUGAAUGCAUAAGGUAAAUUGAUUUGUACCUACAAUUUACAUUUAUUCUUGGGGUAUAUUUGACACUAAUGUUGUGACGGAACUGCCAUGAUGAAGAUUAAUUACAUAAACAUUUUUUGCUGACUUUGUGAGCAGCUGAGUUGAUUGUUUUACUUGAUUUUCUGAGCUUGGUGCCUAAUAGCAAGGUGGGAGACAUUUCUUGGUUUUGCUCGGCACCUUCAUAGAUUAUGUGUCCCAGACCAGUCUUACCGAGUAAGGAACUGGGGAGGGUUUUUGCUAGCUACAGUGCUCCACCUUCCUUGAUUGUGAAGGAAGAAGUACAACACCGCUCAGCUCUUAGAAUUUUUCAAACAUCUGGAUUUGGGAAGAAUUCCCCAGAAUAAAAUAAGGAUUGUGCUUCCA
rnacentral:lncRNA from 1 species